CGGCUGCAAAGUGAUACGGUCAACAUAUUUGUCUGAACAUAUUUUUGAAGGUUCCCAGCAAACACAGAACAUUGCAGCAACAUUGCGGCAAUGUUGUAAUAUUGCUGUAAUGUUGCUACAAUGUUAUAACAUUGCCGCAAUGUUGCUGCUAUGUUCUGUGUUUGCUGGGUUACUGAUAUAAUCAACCGUCUUUGUUGUAUUUGUUAUUAUUUUUGUGAGAAUGUCCGGAACGCCCCGUGAAUCUUAUUAUUAUAUUGGUAAUUAUGUCUUAUAACAUUAACAUACAUAAAAUUGCUUUCAGAAGUGCUUGCUUUUGCGGUUCAAUUUCUUUGUUAUUUGGAUUGGCCGCUGACUGACAAUCUACUGCUGGUUCUACGCUGUAGAAGUUUACGUGACAGGCAAAGCUCGCAUGGUGUACAGUGUCAGUAUUGCUUGGGAAGAGCCUACAGGAGGACAGUACCUAAAAGAUAUAACCUAAUUUAAAUUAAAUUGUAUUCGCGACACAUCGGGCCAUAUUCGCUAUAAACAAGUUUUGCCAAGUAUUAUAUUCACGUUAUAAUAAAAACAAAUUUAUAAUGUAAAA
rnacentral:misc_RNA from 1 species